UAUAUAUGCUCAUAUAUCAAUCAAUAUAGCAGAUUCUUGACUGUCAUCUUUAUCAAAGUCAACCUUAAAAGUCACCAUCGUUGUAUCACCGGUUUCAUAAUCUUGCUUGACAUCUGCUACUUGAAAAUAUUGGAGUUGUUAAAACAAAAAACGAGACUUACUUGUAUUAUCCAUAAUACCGCAAUUAGAAAUGAGUUAAAUUACAGAGCAUGGGCCAAUGCACUCAUUAGAAAAACACAAAUUACAACAAAAUAAAACAUGCGAAGAAAACAAUCAUCACCACAUCAUCCCAUUACGAAUCAUGUACAAGCUCUGUACAGAUAAUCAGAUAUGCAUCAAUGCAUGCUCACCCGCCUCUUACAAGCUAAUCUCCUAAUAGAAAAAAGGAAAAUUUGAUUCUAAUAAUCCAAGCUUUAGGCAGUCUUACUUUAUUAAUCCGACCUUUUGAUUAUUUCAUAGUAAUCCAAGUUUUGGGUGUUCUAUUCUAUUAGGCCAAGCAGGUCUCUAAUCUACAAUAAUAAGUCAUCUGUCAUGUGUUGCAUUUUCAUUUGUCCAAAAAAUAUAUUUGAUUUUUUAAAAAAAAAAUUAAAAUUUUAAAAAAAAAAAUUAAUAAAAUAAAAAAUUUCCUUUCCUCUUCAUCUUCUUCCUCCCUUCCACACCUCCAUUAAUGGCUCCCAUUUCCGGCCAGAGCUCUGCCCACCACACCUCCACCUUCGGCAGCAAGGAACCCCACCCUACUAGCCACCAACCGCAAUAACCACCGAGCCGCACCACACCACCAUCUCACGUAACUUUCUUCCUGCCGCAACGCGAGCCUGCAACAACAACAAUAACUCCCGCAACAACAACAACCAGCCUCCCGCAACAACAACAACCAGCCACACCACUUCUCCCGCAACAUCAUCACAAACCCACAGACCCUACUACCCGCAUCUUCUACAGUUCCAAACAACACCCUAACACCGCAGCACCCCCAGCUGCAGGCCUGCAGCCGCAGCGCCAGCUUCGCCAACCAACAACACCAUAAAGUAUACCAAUUCGCCACCUACAAAAUCAAUUCGCCACUAAUUGCAACAAUUCCGGCCUUUAAUUGCAGCAAUUUGGUAAAGAGCAUCUUCAAUUUGAAGACCCAGAAGGUGUGGUUAUGGAGUGCGCUCACGAAGAAAGAUGACGCGACACCCAGAAAAAGAGGGGAAGGGGGCCGGGAGAGGUUGGCCAUAGGGAGGUCAGGGGGAGGGCACUAGUACAGAAUUAGCUUUUUAUAGCAUUUUUAUUAAAGCGGUUUGGGGGGUUAUGCUAUAAAAGAUAUGAUACUCACCUUAUAAUAGCGGUUAUUUAUUAUAUGUAUUGUUAUUAUAGCGUUUUAAUAUAGACCGCUGUUAAAACAUGAGUUAUUAAAAACUUAAAAGCUAAAUCGCCACUAUUCAAUUCGUCCCCUUACCAAAAAUUUCUGCUCUCAUCUUCAUUCUCAAAACCCUCGCAUGAAAUUCGAUUGAGCUUUCCCACACUCGAUUUCCCGAUUUCAAUACAAUUCAACUGAUAUUCAAGAUUUACGGGCUACAAUAAACUGCACAUUCAUCUUCAAUUUUAGAUAUUUUGAACUAUGAGAUAUUUGAAAGCCACCAUCCAUUUAUUGCAUGCCGACCAAUUAGACUCUUUGAUUUAGGAAUUCUUCAAUAAUUUCAUGCUGAUCUCUUUCCCAUCAGGUAUGAGCCUGAGUACUUCCACAAUGUUGAUUGUAGUAGACCUGGUGCUCAAAGUAAUGAUCUUAUUGGAUUUGUCACCAUUAAAAGAUUAUUCUAGCUAAAGAUCAGAAAGUGAGGUAUGCCUCUUGGUUUAAUUUGUGUUCAUGUGAUUAUCUUAUUAUUGAAAGUGAGCUAGCUUUAUGCUUGUGUAUUAGUGAGCAUGGUCACUAUAGUGACUAGUACAAUAAUCAAGUUAACUGCUACAAAUAAGGAAUGAAAUUUUCUUAUAAACUGUAUAUAACAUGUAGAGCUGAAUUUCUCGGUUGUGUCUUUAUGAUCUCCUAACUCUCCUAAUUUGCCUCCUCCUUCCGAAGGUGUACUUGUUUUUGCCUUAUAUGAUGUCGUUUUGCUACUUGGGGUUUGCUUCUGUCACUGCAUUUUGCUGCUAUCACUGCUGCCGCUGGCAGAGUAUGUUGACUGGUUGCCUAUCUGGUUACCUAUGUGGCAGUAUGACAGGCGCUUGUGUGUUAAUUUUUGUGUGUGCAAGGUUCGAUCAGUGUUUGAAAAUGCGCGCCUAAGGCGCAAGGCGAAAUGGGGUAAGCGCUUAAUUUGGUCUGGGCGAGACGUUUUUGGUAAGGCGCAGCCUAGGCGCAUGAAGCGCACCCAAAGCGCACAAGGCGCACUUGAGGCGCAAGUGAGGCGCACCUUUUCUGCCAACUUUUUUUGUGUACAGUGCGCCUCACUUCAAAGAGGCGCACUGAGGCGCGCCUACACCUAGGCGCUGUAUGACCCUUCUCGCUUCAGCGCGCCUCGAGCUUUUUUAUACAUUGGGUUCGAUUUAAAUGCUAGGCUAUCGACUUGUUAAUAUAGUAUUUGUUUAUUAAAGUAACAAACUUCUGUCCUAAUUGUAUAUUGCCUUAAUUACCACCUAAGUUAUAAUAUGUGGAUAUAUAUGAUUUACUUAAUAUCUCGUCAUA